CAUCUCUAGCAUUCCCAUUAAUCUCUCUGGCAUUGUCUUGGCUGCAAGAAACCCCGGAAUGCUAACGGAAGGUUUUCUCCAGCCCCUUAAAAUAAGGCUGAAUGUAAAGGCCAACAGACAUAAGUGAAUAUUCCAUAAAUCACUUCUUGUGCGGGCAACCUGAAUACAGUUUGGUGAUGAUUCUACAUCCAGCUUUCAUCCAUGAGAUUUGGUUGCUGAAACGUGGCAAAUAUCCAUUCACUGGCUUCCUUGCUAUUAUAUUUGAGCUGCACGUCUGUGAUCAGGUUUCUACGUGUGGGUUUGGUGCAGAAACUAGUACCACUACUUCGACAAAAAAAAACCUCAAAUAAGGUUCAUACCGGCGCUGAUAGCGGCAGCUUUUCAAGGUAUUGAAAUUUGACGUGCAAUGCUUUUGGAAAUCCUACGAGGUCUGCGUCAUUAUGAAAGCCCUUACCUCACUCUUAUACAUUCUACAAGUGCUGCUGCUAGAAGUCAGUGGGGAGCAGAAACUCUAUGGUUACCAACGUUCUUCAAAAUAACAGAAGAAAGAAAUUCAUACAGGUUUGGCACAACUUCAGGGUGAGAAAAUUAAGAUAGAAUUUUUAUUUUUGGGUGAACUGUCCUUUUAAUUAUACUGUAUCUCGCUGCCUCAAGUGCAAAACUGCUGAUCAAUAUGAUGUACAUAGACGUGAAUUUAAAAGUGCAGAAAAUGAAUAAAAAU
ensembl:lncRNA